rnacentral:rRNA from 1 species
GGGUUGUGAGGUUAAGCGACCAAGCGUACACGGUGGAUGCCCUGGCAGUCAGAGGCGAUGAAGGACGUGCUAAUCUGCGAAAAGCGUCGGUAAGGUGAUAUGAACCGCUAUAACCGACGAUGUCCGAAUGGGGAAACCCAGUGCAAUUCGUUGCACUAUCGUUAACUGAAUACAUAGGUUAACGAGGCGAACCGGGGGAACUGAAACAUCUAAGUACCCCGAGGAAAAGAAAUCAACCGAGAUUCCCCCAGUAGCGGCGAGCGAACGGGGAGCAGCCCAGAGUCUGAAUCAGCAUGUGUGUUAGUGGAAGCGUCUGGAAAGUCGCAGGGUACAGGGUGAUACUCCCGUACACGAAAGUACACAUGCUGUGAGCUCGAUGAGUAGGGCGGGACACGUGACAUCCUGUCUGAAUAUGGGGGGACCAUCCUCCAAGGCUAAAUACUCCUGACUGACCGAUAGUGAACCAGUACCGUGAGGGAAAGGCGAAAAGAACCCCGGCGAGGGGAGUGAAAAAGAACCUG